UACGUAGGUGGCAAGCGUUGUCCGGAUUUACUGGGCGUAAAGCGCGUGCAGGCGGUUCGUUAAGUGCAGGGUGAAAGCUCCCGGCUCAACUGGGAGAGGUCCUUGCAUACUGGCGGACUUGAGGGGGGUAGAGGAGAGUGGAAUCUCCGGAGUAGUGGUGAUAUGCGUAGAUAUCGGAGGGAACACCAGUGGCGAAGGCGGCUCUCUGGGCCCUACCUGACGCUGAGACGCGAAAGCGUGGGGAGCGAACCGG
rnacentral:rRNA from 1 species